AGAGGAAAGAACAUAUUUUAUGUAAUGUUUUAAUGACUCUAUAUGUUUUAAGUGUCGAGACACAUGGAUUUCCAAAAUACUUUUACUAACUUCAUUUCAAGCAGUCUGAAAACACAAAAUUUGCCUUCAGUGAAUAUGCUCAGAAGUCACUAGAAAAUUCAGAUUUUCAUGAAAAGAGAAAGAGAAGAGAAAAGAGAAGAAAAAACAUGCUCAUCAUUAGGAUCCAGGAAAGAAAAUUAAACCAUUCUGCAGUUGAGGAUUUGUGCUUCUGGC